rnacentral:rRNA from 1 species
UACGUAGGAGACGAGCGUUGUCCGGAAUUACUGGGCGUAAAGCGCGUGUAGGCGGAUGGGCAAGUCUGCUGUGAAAGCUCCUGGCUUAACCGGGAGUGGUCGGUGGAAACUGCCAAUCUGGAGGACGGUAGAGGUAGGUAGAAUUCCACGUGUAGCAGUGAAAUGCGUAGAGAUGUGGAGGAACACCGAUGGCGAAGGCAGCCCCCUGGGUCAAGAUUGACGCUCAUGCACGAAAGCGUGGGGAGCAAACAGG